CCUACGGGAGGCAGCAGUGGGGGAUAUUGCACAAUGGGGGAAACACUGAUGCAGCGACGCCGCGUGGGGGAAGAAGGGCCUCGGCGCGUAAAGCCCUGUCAGCAGGGAAGAAAAUGACGGUACCUGAAGAAGAAGCCCCGGCUAACUACGUGCCAGCAGCCGUGGCAAUACGCAGGGGGCAAGCGUUAUCCGGAUUUACUGGGCGUAAAGGGGGCGCAGUCGGCGUUGCAAGUCAGGAGGGAAAGCCCGGCGUCCAACCCCGGGACCGUUCUUGAAACUGCGUGGCUAGAGUGCAGGAGGGGCAGGCGGAAUGCCUGGUGUAGCGGUGAAAUGCGUAGAUAUCAGGAGGAACACCGGUGGCGAAGGCGGCCUGCUGGACUGCAACUGACGUUGAGGCCCGAAAGCGUGGGGAGCAAACAGGAUUAGAUACCCCAGUAGUC
rnacentral:rRNA from 1 species